GUGGGGAAUCUUGCGCAAUGGGCGAAAGCCUGACGCAGCCAUGCCGCGUGAAUGAUGAAGGUCUUAGGAUUGUAAAAUUCUUUCACCGGGGACGAUAAUGACGGUACCCGGAGAAGAAGCUCCGGCUAACUUCGUGCCAGCAGCCGCGGUAAUACGAAGGGGGCUAGCGUUGCUCGGAAUUACUGGGCGUAAAGGGCGCGUAGGCGGACAGCUUAGUCAGAGGUGAAAGCCCAGGGCUCAACCUUGGAAUUGCCUUUGAUACUGGCUGUCUUGAGUUUGGGAGAGGUGAGUGGAACUCCGAGUGUAGAGGUGAAAUUCGUAGAUAUUAGGAAGAACACCAGUGGCGAAGGCGGCUCACUGGUCCGGUACUGACGCUGAGGUGCGAAAGCGUGGGGAGCAAACAGGAUUAGAAACCCUGGUAGUCC
rnacentral:rRNA from 1 species